CGGACUUGACAUACACCGGAAGCAUCAGAGAUGGUGCCCCCCUUGUGGUCGGUGUACAGGUGGUGCAUGGCUGUCGUCAGCUCGUGUCGUGAGAUGUUGGGUUAAGUCCCGCAACGAGCGCAACCCUUGUCCCGUGUUGCCAGCAACUCUUCGGAGGUUGGGGACUCACGGGAGACCGCCGGGGUCAACUCGGAGGAAGGUGGGGACGACGUCAAGUCAUCAUGCCCCUUAUGUCUUGGGCUGCACACGUGCUACAAUGGCCGGUACAAUGAGCUGCGAUACCGCAAGGUGGAGCGAAUCUCAAAAAGCCGGUCUCAGUUCGGAUUGGGGUCUGCAACUCGACCCCAUGAAGUCGGAGUCGCUAGUAAUCGCAGAUCAGCAUUGCUGCGGUGAAUACGUUCCCGGGCCUUGUACACACCGCCCGUCACGUCACGAAAGUCGGUAACACCCGAAGCCGGUGGCCCAACCCCUUGUGGGAGGGAGCUGUCGAAGGUGGGACUGGCGAUUGGGACGAAGUCGUAACAAGGUAGGCGUAGCGAG
rnacentral:rRNA from 1 species